GAUGAACGCUGGCGGCGUGCCUAAUACAUGCAAGUCGAGCGAACGGACGAGAAGCUUGCUUCUCUGAUGUUAGCGGCGGACGGGUGAGUAACACGUGGAUAACCUACCUAUAAGACUGGGAUAACUUCGGGAAACCGGAGCUAAUACCGGAUGAUAUUUUGAACCGCAUGGUUCAAAAGUGAAAGACGGUCUUGCUGUCACUUAUAGAUGGAUCCGCGCUGCAUUAGCUAGUUGGUAAGGUAACGGCUUACCAAGGCAACGAUGCAUAGCCGACCUGAGAGGGUGAUCGGCCACACUGGAACUGAGACACGGUCCAGACUCCUACGGGAGGCAGCAGUAGGGAAUCUUCCGCAAUGGGCGAAAGCCUGACGGAGCAACGCCGCGUGAGAGAUGAAGGUCCUCGGAUCGUAAAACUCUGUUAUUAGGGAAGAACAUAUGUGUAAGUAACUGUGCACAGCUUGACGGUACCUAAUCAGAAAGCCACGGCUAACUACGUG
rnacentral:rRNA from 1 species